rnacentral:rRNA from 1 species
SKGGCGUGCCUAAUACAUGCAAGUCGAGCGGACAGAUGGGAGCUUGCUCCCUGAUGUUAGCGGCGGACGGGUGAGUAACACGUGGGUAACCUGCCUGUAAGACUGGGAUAACUCCGGGAAACCGGGGCUAAUACCGGAUGCUUGAUUGAACCGCAUGGUUCAAUUAUAAAAGGUGGCUUUUAGCUACCACUUACAGAUGGACCCGCGGCGCAUUAGCUAGUUGGUGAGGUAACGGCUCACCAAGGCGACGAUGCGUAGCCGACCUGAGAGGGUGAUCGGCCACACUGGGACUGAGACACGGCCCAGACUCCUACGGGAGGCAGCAGUAGGGAAUCUUCCGCAAUGGACGAAAGUCUGACGGAGCAACGCCGCGUGAGUGAUGAAGGUUUUCGGAUCGUAAAACUCUGUUGUUAGGGAAGAACAAGUACCGUUCGAAUAGGGCGGUACCUUGACGGUACCUAACCAGAAAGCCACGGCUAACUACGUGCCAGCAGCCGCGGUAAUACGUAGGUGGCAAGCGUUGUCCGGAAUUAUUGGGCGUAAAGCGCGCGCAGGCGGUUUCUUAAGUCUGAUGUGAAAGCCCCCGGCUCAACCGGGGAGGGUCAUUGGAAACUGGGGAACUUGAGUGCAGAAGAGGAGAGUGGAAUUCCACGUGUAGCGGUGAAAUGCGUAGAGAUGUGGAGGAACACCAGUGGCGAAGGCGACUCUCUGGUCUGUAACUGACGCUGAGGCGCGAAAGCGUGGGGAGCGAACAGGAUUAGAUACCCUGGUAGUCCACGCCGUAAACGAUGAGUGCUAAGUGUUAGAGGGUUUCCGCCCUUUAUCGCUGCAGCAAACGCAUUACGCCUUUCUCCU